UCACCAGGUCCCGUGGGAAAAGCAAUGAAGUCAGCAAUUAACAGGAAGAUGUGGGAGCGAUGCCACUCCUGCCUCCGUAACAAUCACAUUAUGGUUACUCCAUGCUCAGUGUAUCUGGUCUGUGAAACAAUUUAUACACAGGAACAAUAUCUACUCGCAAGAUACAGGCACAGCGAUGGGGUCAAAGGUGGCACCAAGUUGCUUCAACCUCUUUGUGGGCCUCUUUGAGAAACAGUGUGCUGCUUGUCCUCCAGCGCUCUGUUUGGAUUCAGACUGCACCACGUGACUUCAGUCCUGGCGAUGCGUACCUAGCAACUAACAGGUCUUGCAUGAUCUUCUCUCCUAUUGGCCGGAUGGUGUCACGUGGCCUCCGAUCAAAACAGAGCAGAGCGAUGUGCUCUGUGCUGCGAUCGCUGACACUGGUUCAGACAGUGGAAUACUAUGAACUCUUGUGUUUUUGUUUAAAUACAUUGAUCCUCGCUCCCGUGCGAUAGUAAUAUGCAGUGUGACUGUUUACAUCUGUCUCCAGCGAUCCUCGCUUUCACACAGCACUGCCGACUCACGGCAUGAACGAGCAUGCUGUGACCUUAAGUCUCUAUGAACAUUCUCUGAUGUUUAUACCUAUUAUAUGUUUCUUUUAUAUGUAAGCUAUUUAUAAUAUAAUAUGCUUUCAUUUACUAUUGCCUUUUUAUUAAUUUUCUGGUGUUUGUCAUAGGUUGUGUGGGGCAGGGUAACUCCACCCACCUGUAAUCUGGCACCCAUUUUGUUAUAUAAGUAUCUUGUUUGUGUAAUGCUUUGUAUGCCAAUCUGAAGAAGGAGGACUGUACCCCCGAAAUGCGUCAUUGGUCUCUGACUUUAAAUAAACAUAGUGCCUAUUGGUUCUUCUUUAGGAACGUAUUGGAACCCUGAUUCAUCAGGAAGAAAGCCAUGCUUUGGUGUUGAAACAUGUGGAAUGUAGUAGUAUAUACAAAUUUUAGUUGCACCACUAUCCAAUAGAAUCAUAAGAGCAGAGUCCAUAAUAUACUCGCUCACGGCUAUUGCCAUUAGUUAGUGCUAUUUCAGCACUAAUAUCCUAACCCUACUAGGAUCGGUUAAAAAAGUGAUUAAUGUUGGAUCCCAACGAAGGGGACUAAUCCUACAUAUACACAAUGAAUAGGGUCUGGAUUUGUAAAUUAGUGCAUGGAUAGUGGAUGCAUUUUUUAACCCACUUUCACUUAAUUUUUAAAAAGAAAAAUAUUAAAAGUUACUUUUAUGGUGGAGGGACCCAUGAGGGAUUAGUGCCCUUUGGGCACCUUUGUUGUGGUUGCUAUAGUGUACCCUCCCCUCCAUCUGGGGCAAUUAUUUUGG